rnacentral:rRNA from 1 species
AGGCGGCUGUCUGGAUCUGUAAACUGACGUGGAGGCUCGAAAGUAUGGGUAGCAAACAGGAUUAGAUACCCUGGGUAGUCCAUACCGUAAACGAUGAAAUGCUAAGUGUUGGGAGGGGUUUCCGCCCUUCAGUGCUGCAGCUAACGCAUUAAGCAUUCCGCCUGGGGAGUACGGCCGCAAGGCUGAAACUCAAAGGAAUUGACGGGGGCCCGCACAAGCGGUGGAGCAUGUGGUUUAAUUCGAAGCUACGCGAAGAACCUUACCAGGUCUUGACAUACUAUGCAAAUCUAAGAGAUUAGACGUUCCCUUCGGGGACAUGGAUACAGGUGGUGCAUGGUUGUCGUCAGCUCGUGUCGUGAGAUGUUGGGUUAAGUCCCGCAACGAGCGCAACCCUUAUUAUCAGUUGCCAGCAUUAAGUUGGGCACUCUGGUGAGACUGCCGGUGACAAACCGGAGGAAGGUGGGGAUGACGUCAAAUCAUCAUGCCCCUUAUGACCUGGGCUACACACGUGCUACAAUGGAUGGUACAACGAGUUGCGAACUCGCGAGAGUAAGCUAAUCUCUUAAAGCCAUUCUCAGUUCGGAUUGUAGGCUGCAACUCGCCUACAUGAAGUCGGAAUCGCUAGUAAUCGCGGAUCAGCAUGCCGCGGUGAAUACGUUCCCGGGCCUUGUACACACCGCCCGUCACACCAUGAGAGUUUGUAACACCCAAAGUCGGUGGGGUAACCUUUUAGGAACCAGCCGCCUUAAGGGGGAC